CGGAAUUCGAUAAUGAUUUCUCCCGCCAUCCUUGGCUUUCUGCUCUCCAGUUUCUCGGUGCUGAAGAUGGUUUGAUUCCGAGCAUACCUAUCAGCUCUAUCAAGAAAUGUCUCAAUGGCGACAAGAUUGUUCAGGUUGUAGCUAUUGUAAAGUCAUGCACUCCUAAUGGUCUUGGGGGUUUGUUAGUGUCAUUGAAGGACCCAACUGGUACAAUUGAUGCUACUAUUCACCACAAAGUCCUCUCCGAAAACGAGUUUGGUAAGGAGUUAACUACUGGUGCAGCUCUAAUACUUCAGAAGGUAGCCAUCUUUGCCC